rnacentral:rRNA from 1 species
GAUGAACGCUGGCGGCGUGCCUAAUACAUGCAAGUCGAGCGAACGGACGAGAAGCUUGCUUCUCUGAUGUUAGCGGCGGACGGGUGAGUAACACGUGGAUAACCUACCUAUAAGACUGGGAUAACUUCGGGAAACCGGAGCUAGUACCGGAUAAUAUUUUGAACCGCAUGGUUCAAAAGUGAAAGACGGUCUUGCUGUCUCUUAUAGAUGGAUCCGCGCUGCAUUAGCUAGUUGGUAAGGUAACGGCUUACCAAGGCUACGAUGCAUAGCCGACCUGAGAGGGUGAUCGGCCACACUGGAACUGAGACACGGUCCAGACUCCUACGGGAGGCAGCAGUAGGGAAUCUUCCGCAAUGGGCGAAAGCCUGACGGAGCAACGCCGCGUGAGUGAUGAAGGUCUUCGGAUCGUGAAACUCUGUUAUUAGGGAAGAACAUAUGUGUAAGUAACUGUGCACAUCUUGACGGUACCUAAUCAGAAAGCCACGGCUAACUACGUG